ACCGCUUCUCGGCCUUUUGGCUAAGAUCAAGUGUAGUAUCCUUAUCAGUUUAAUCUAGCCUCUUCCAGAGAGUCUGCUGACCCCAGCUCCGUCAGGUGGAAACUUGGACGCAGAUGUCAGAGAUCAUGGGUCCCAAGCACAUAGCAGAUCUAAAUGCCACUCAACUUCUUGCAUUUCGUGGGCAAAACCAA
ensembl:snRNA U2 U2 spliceosomal RNA